AAACAAACAAACGGCUCUCUGAGACAGCUACAGAUUUGCCUGAGGAUGAAAGCACAUCUCUUCCCAGAGCAAAAGCACAAGAGCUGGUGUGGAUUUUAAUGGUGCCCUGCAGUGCUGGGAUAGCCACCUUCCCACCCCUUCCAGCAUGCUUGUGGCGAUGUCUGGGCUGGCUGAUGUCUACUGCAACACUUCCUGUGGCUGCAGCAGGGUGGCACAGGUCUCCAGGUUAAAUGUGACUUGCACCAGUUUGACUUGCAAAUCCAUUUCACUGCAAAUUAAGCCCAGACACCGCUAGCAGCAAUUACAGUGAUCACAACAUCAAAGAUGGAGUUGUUUUUUCCAGGAGUUUUGCAUAAGUAGACACAUAAGGGAAACGGAAGCUGUAUUUUUGCAAUCUUCUCCCCAGAACUUCUGACGUACUAAAUAGAGGAUGAUACAGCUUCUUACCAGCAUAAAUCCUGAUGCAUUCAGAACAUCUGCUGGGACAAGAGGAAGAAGAAUCAGGAAGAGAGCUAAAUCCUAGAUCAAGCCUUCAGAGAGACCAUAGUAGCUCUUGUCUUCUGCCAUGAUGCCCUCAUGCAAGAAUAAAGGUGGCUUCCCAGCACCAAGUGCCCCCAAAUCCCACAAGGAAUUCAGAGUCACCGGUUUUUCUAGCCUUGUGACAGACAGACUGCCACGUCACUGCAUGUCAUCUUCUUUUUCCGGUGCACACUCAAUUUGCUCUGUACUUUCCAGUUUUGCUGGGGCUGUUGGGCUUCUGCGCGCGCUCCGUCAGCUGACACUGAGUCAGUCCAGGAGGCUGGGCAGGACUUUCUGAGAACGCCCACCAAAGCCUUGGCUGACGGUGAGUGCAGGCUCAUCCUGAGAAGCCGUGCACCUUUCCUCCCCCGAGCUGCAAACUUUCACUGAGGACAAACACAGUGACAGGCACUGCCAGCCCCACUGCAGCACAGGGAAAAAAAAAAACAAAAAAACAAUGCCCCCUUCCCACCCCACCCCCCCAAAAAAAACCAAAACAGAAACUGACUGACUUAACCAUUUCCAAGAAAAACAGAGAAGCACUUUUCUUUUUAAUUCAUCAUUUUCAUGAAUGAGUUAUUCAUGCACUUGUGGCAAUUCUUGCAUUCUUAAAAACAAAAAACAAAACAAAACAAAAAAACAAUACGGUGACAUCCAUUGGCUCCCAGUGGCACAGGGAUCUACAGGGAGGGGGCAGGGCAGCCAAGAGCUUCUGAGUUGCAAGGAAGUAGCAUGAUACAGCUGCACCAUUCAGCACAGCAACUGCACCAUAGACAACAUAAGCAUUCUACUUUCAGAGAUAAAAUAUAUUAUAUAUAUAUAUAUAAUAAUUUGCACAUAAAUAAUCUAGCCUGGAAACUGAAAUACCACAAUUACAGCAAUUAUU
rnacentral:lncRNA from 7 species